GAGACUAGACAUCCGCUCUUCUUUUCCUCCGGGAAAAGAAACGGGAAGUGGCCGUGGACCGGUGAAUUCCGUGUAGUGGCCAAGCUUUGUUCCAAAGAGGGGGAGGUGGUGACAGUCUCUUGCCCACUGAAGCGUGCCAGACAGAGUGCUAGGCAUGGGGGCAGAGGUGAAUCAGACGACAGCCACCUCUCACCACGAGGAGUGGCUGAAAGUGUGACUGGACUACAGGCAAUCCUUGCCUUGGCAGGUUUUGCAUGGAGUGAGCAUCACUUGGACAAAUCCUUUGGAUUAAAAAAAGAUCUACUAAGUGAGGGGAA